UGUGUUGGUGUAGUAUCUAUUUCGUUUCGUUCAGUUACACACUGUGAGGGCGAAUGCGAAGUCCCCCCCGCUACCAAACCGGGAGUCCCAUCUCUGAAGACCAGCUCACUAGGUAGUUCCUGUCAACAGUUCGUCUCUUAUCAAUCAUUGGGCAAUUACCUACAUUCUAGUAUCAUAAACAACAAUGGCAAUCAGCUGUUAAAGCAAUACGCAUUGAGAGGCAUUUUCUUAUCUUCAAUUAUUUGUGUCUUUCCGUACAAACUGAAAAAUGAUCAUCACACACCAAACUCAGUGUUUUAGUUUCAAUAGUCAGUAUAUAUUUUGCAUGUAUAAGUUUUGCUCUUGAACAGUCGUACUUCGAUAAAAGAACAUCGAUAUUAAAACAUACCAAAGUGACUUAUA